UCAAGAGAAAGCAAUCACUUCUCAUGGUAGAUCCAGAGUCUGGAUACUUGGAAGAAUAUUCAAGGAGAUGAAGAUUGAGAUGCCAAGAACAUGAUAGAAGACACUUAACUCUUGUUUUCUCACUACAAUUGAAAAAUGAAGACCCUUUUGGAGACAAGGCUGGAAACUUGUAUUGACCAUGCAAGAGAGACAAGGGAAUGGUGAAAGAUAUAAACCUCUCUACUUCUCUUCUCUUCUCUUCUCUUCUCUUCUCUUCUCUUCUCUUCUCUUCUCUUCUCUUCUCUGCAAAAGUUGAAGAAGAGGGAGAAGACAGAUGCUUUUCAUUGGAAAACACCUGACUCCCUUCUCACUUUUCUGGAGUCUAGCUUCCUGGCAGAAAAUUCAUGAAGAUGAUACCGGAAAUUCGUGGAAAUCAUUGAGGAGACCCAUGGAAUGUGAGGGAAGGUACCUGCCUCUCAUCUUUCCUUCUCUCCUCUUCCCUUUGGAGGAUGGAGAUCAGGUAGGAGAUAGGCAAAACAUAAUACAAAGCAGCUAACUCUACUCAAGGACCCAGGUCUUGAAGAAUCGACAGGAGAUUCAUGGAGAUGAGGAUAUGAAGCAAAAAGGGCAUGAUGGAAGUCACCCACCUCUUCCCUUCUCACUACCAUUGGAGACUCCUCAGGAGACCAGAAGAUGAAGAUGAAGGAGGAGAAAGAUGAGGCACAAUGGAAGGCAACUAACUCUCUUUUCCCCAUUUUCACUGGAAACUAGAGUCCAGCAGGAGUCUCAUAAAGAUCAAGGAGGAGACUCAUGGAAAUUAGAGGAGAGCCCUGGGAUUUGAUGGAAGAAGUUGAAGAUCAAUGAGGAGAUGGCACUGUAGUUGGCACCAGAUUCUCUUCUUUCCACUUUUUCUGAAGGCUAGCAUCCUGGUUGGAGAUUAGGUAGGAGGCAGGUAAAGCACAACAAAGCAACCACUUCUCCUUGUGGAUCCAGAGCCUAGAUACUGAGCAGGAAACAUGAAAAUGAGAAAGCUGAAACACAGGGUGUGAAGGAAGGCAUCCACUUCUUCUCCUCCCUUCUUUUGGAAAGUGGAGACCAGGCAGAUGACUAGAGAACAUAGAGUUAAUACAUCUGCAACCAUCCAGAACUGUGUUAUAAGUUGGCCUAAGACUCAGAAGGACGUGGAUGUGAGUCCGCUCUGUCAUGCUUAAUGGCCAUAUGAUCCCAGAUGAGGAAACUCUGUCUGCCAAU